GCUGGGUGUCGUGGUGCACACCUGUAAUCCCAGGAGCGUGGGAAGGUGAGACAGGAGGAUAGGGAGUUCAUAGCCAGUCUCAGCAAUGUUGAUGCGCUAAGCAACUCAGUGAGACCCUGUCUCUA
rnacentral:sRNA from 1 species